rfam:Schistosoma curassoni strain Dakar, Senegal genome assembly, scaffold: SCTD_scaffold0003301
AUGCAACUGAAGAGUCCCAAAUAGGACGAAACGCUCGUCCUGGAU